UGGGGUGUAGCUCAGUCGGCAGAGCAAGUGGCUGUUAACCACUGGGUCGGGGGUUCGAGCCCCUCCACCCCAGCCA
rnacentral:tRNA from 1 species